rnacentral:rRNA from 1 species
AGUGAACGCUGGCGGCGUGCUAAACACAUGCAAGUCGAACGAGAACGGGAUAUAGCUUGCUAUAUUUGUCAGCUAAGUGGCGCACGGGUGAGUAAUGUAUAGAUAACCUGCCCUCUAGAAAGGAAUAACAGUUGGAAACGACUGCUAAUGCCCUAUAUGCCUUUAAUACAUAAGUAUGCAAGGGAAACGCUUUAGUGCUAGAGGAUGGGUCUGUAUGGUAUCAGCUUGUUGGUGAGGUAAUGGCUCACCAAGGCUAUGACGCCUAACUGGUUUGAGAGGAUGAUCAGUCACACUGGAACUGAGACACGGUCCAGGCUCCUACGGGAGGCAGCAGUGGGGAAUAUUGCACAAUGGACGAAAGUCUGAUGCAGCAACGCCGCGUGGAGGAUGACACAUUUCGGUGCGUAAACUCCUUUUAUAUAGGAAGAUAAUGACGGUACUAUAUGAAUAAGCACCGGCUAACUCCGUGCCAGCAGCCGCAGUAAAAC